AGAUAGCGAGACCGAGUCUCUCCAUUCUCUCUCUCUCCUCUUCUUAUCCGCAGCCUUUCAAACCCUAGAAAUUCUUGAACUCGGAGCUUAUGUAAUCCUCAAGAGCCUCUAAAUUUUUUAGGAUUUUGAGAUCGGCCUGCAAAGAUCGGGAUUAUUGGCGCUUUUCGGAUUUGAGGAGCUACUAUGACUUCUUUGAGCAGAGAAUUGGUGUUUCUCAUACUCCAAUUUCUGGAGGAGGAGAAGUUCAAAGAGUCGGUGCAUAAGCUUGAGAAAGAAUCUGGGUUUUUCUUCAAUAUGAAGUACUUUGAAGAAAAAGUACAGGCUGGUGAAUGGGAAGAAGUUGAGAAAUACUUAACAGGGUUUACGAAAGUUGAUGAUAAUAGAUACUCCAUGAAAAUAUUCUUCGAAAUCAGGAAGCAGAAAUAUCUAGAAGCACUUGAUAGGCAAGACAAGGCAAAGGCUGUUGAGAUAUUAGUGGGUGAUUUAAAAGUAUUCUCCACCUUCAAUGAGGAACUAUACAAAGAAAUCACGCAGCUGCUAACUCUUAAUAAUUUCAGGGAGAAUGAGCAGCUGUCUAAGUAUGGUGACACCAAAACUGCUCGAGGAAUUAUGUUGAUAGAGCUAAAAAAGCUCAUUGAGGCAAAUCCUCUUUUCCGGGAUAAACUUAUCUUCCCUACUCUUAGGUCAUCAAGAUUGCGGACUUUAAUCAAUCAAAGUUUAAACUGGCAACAUCAGCUUUGCAAAAAUCCAAGGGCAAACCCAGAUAUAAAGACUUUAUUCACUGACCACACAUGUGCGCCUCCUAAUGGUCCUCUAGCACCUACACCUGUUAAUCUUCCAGUUGCUGCUGUUGCAAAGCCUGCUGCUUAUACUUCAAUUGGAGCUCAUGGUCCCUUUCCUCCUGCUGCAGCAACUGCUAAUGCUAAUGCUUUAGCUGGUUGGAUGGCCAAUGCCGCAGCUUCAUCAUCUGUCCAAGCAGCUGUUGUCACAGCAUCAACCAUACCUGUCCCACAGAAUCAAGUGUCUAUCUUGAAGCGUCCAAGAACACCUCCAACAACUCCUGGCAUGGUUGAUUAUCAGAAUGCUGAUCAUGAGCAGUUAAUGAGAAGACUUCGGCCUGCUCCUUCUGUUGAGGAGGUUUCAUAUCCUGCUGCUCGACCAGCCUCUUUGUCACUGGAGGAUCUACCAAGAUCAGUGGCUAUGACUUUGCAUCAAGGAUCCUCUGUGACAAGCAUGGACUUUCAUCCUUCUCACCAAACCUUGCUUCUUGUUGGUUCUAAUAAUGGUGACAUUACCCUUUGGGAACUUGGGGUGCGAGACAGGUUGGUCUCGAAGCCAUUCAAGAUAUGGGAUGUCUCUGCAUGCUCAUUGCCAUUUCAGGCAGCUAUAGUCAAAGAUGCACCUAUUUCCGUCAGUCGUGUCACCUGGAGCCUUGAUGGAAAUUUUGUGGGUGUUGCAUUUACUAAACAUUUGAUUCACUUGUAUGCCUGCACUGGAUCAAAUGAGCUGGCCCAGCGAAUAGAGAUUGAUGCCCAUAUUGGUGGCGUUAAUGACUUGGCAUUUGCUCAUCCAAAUAAACAACUUUGUAUUGUGACUUGUGGGGAUGAUAAAUUGAUAAAGGUGUGGGACUUAACUGGACGAAGACUAUUCAACUUUGAGGGGCAUGAGGCACCUGUAUAUUCUAUCUGUCCUCAUCACAAGGAGAACAUUCAGUUUGUAUUUUCAACUGCCAUUGAUGGCAAAAUAAAAGCCUGGUUAUACGAUAAUAUGGGUUCUAGGGUUGACUAUGAUGCCCCAGGUCAUUGGUGUACUACAAUGCUUUACAGUGCUGAUGGAACUAGAUUGUUUUCUUGUGGGACAAGUAAAGAUGGAGAGUCAUUUCUUGUUGAAUGGAAUGAAAGUGAAGGAGCCAUUAAGAGAACAUACAAUGGGUUCAGGAAGAAAUCUGCUGGUGUUGUGCAGUUUGACACAACGCAAAAUCGUUUUUUGGCUGCUGGUGAAGAUGGCCAAAUCAAGUUUUGGGACAUGGACAAUAUUAAUCUUCUAACCAGCACUGAUGCAGAGGGUGGACUGCAGGCCCUUCCACACUUGAGAUUCAACAAGGAGGGAAAUCUUCUUGCUGUUACUACUGCAGACAACGGAUUCAAAAUUCUUGCUAAUGCUAUUGGCCUUAGAUCGUUAAGAACAAUUGAAAAUCCUGGAUUUGAAGCAUUGAGGUCACCCAUUGAAUCUGCUGCAAUCAAGGCAUCUGGCCCUUCUGCUGUUAAUGUCAGUCCUGUCAACUGUAAAGUAGAAAGGAGUUCACCUGUCAGGCCGUCUCCCAUUCUUAAUGGAGUUGAUCCCACUGCUCGAAAUGUGGAGAAACCUAGAACUGUGGAGGAUGGAAUAGAUAGAACUAAACCAUGGCAGCUGUCUGAAAUUGUGGAUGCUGUCCAAUGUCGGUUAGUUACCAUGCCUGACAGCACAGACUCUGCCAGCAAGGUAGUCCGACUUUUAUACACGAACUCUGGUGCUGGUCUUUUGGCACUUGGUUCAAAUGGUGUACAGAAGCUUUGGAAGUGGGCUCGUAGUGAACAGAAUCCCACAGGCAAGGCAACUGCCAGUGUUGUCCCACAGCAUUGGCAACCCAGCAGUGGUCUUCUUAUGACUAAUGAUGUUGUGGGUGUCAACCUUGAUGAAGCGGUUCCUUGCAUUGCACUCUCAAAGAAUGACUCAUAUGUUAUGUCAGCCUGUGGUGGAAAGGUUUCGUUGUUUAACAUGAUGACAUUCAAGGUAAUGACUACAUUCAUGCCACCACCUCCUGCUUCUACCUUUCUGGCUUUCCAUCCUCAAGAUAACAACAUCAUAGCCAUUGGGAUGGAGGAUUCAACCAUUCACAUUUAUAAUGUUAGAGUGGAUGAGGUGAAAUCAAAAUUAAAGGGUCAUCAAAAGCGAAUUACUGGUUUGGCCUUUUCAACCAAUCUUAACAUUCUGGUUUCGUCUGGUGCUGAUGCUCAAGUAUGCCUUCAACUUUUCUCUUUUCUGUUUUAGAUUCUGGGUGACUUGGAAAACCUCUUUUGCAUGAUACUUUGUUUUAGAAAUCUCUUUGUUAAUUUCUGUCAUUGGUAAUUAUUGCAUAGAUCUUCCCAGUGUAAAGGAUAACAGAAUAGCCUUGCUUUUAUUUUCUGGAUUACUAUGAAAUAAAAUUACAAUUUACUUCAUUGAAAUUAUUUCACACGAAGGUGCCAAUACUUAAUCUGUUGCUCGAUAUCAUUUUCUUUUUAGUUUCCUGAGCCAUUCCAUAACAAUUUUCUUCAUUGAAAUAUUUUCCGUACAGCUUUGUGUAUGGAGCAUUGAUACAUGGGAGAAAAGAAAAUCAAUUCCUAUACAACUACCCGCAGGAAAGGCUCCCGUUGGUGACACUCGAGUGCAGUUCCAUUCAGACCAAAUCCGGUUACUGGUAGCCCAUGAAUCUCAGUUGGCAAUAUAUGACGCCUCUAAGAUGGAUCGCAUUCGGCAGUGGGUUCCACAAGAUGUUCUACCUGCUCCCAUAUCAUAUGCAUCCUAUUCCUGCAACAGUCAGUUAAUCUAUGCUACAUUUUGCGAUGGCAAUACUGGGGUUUUUGAUGCUGAUAGCUUGAGACUAAGAUGUCGUAUUGCACUAUCUACAUUCUUUUCACCGGCGGCUUUAAGUGGGAACCAAGCUGUGUAUCCUGUUGUUGUUGCGGCCCAUCCACUAGAGCCCAACCAAUUUGCCGUUGGAUUGACAGAUGGGUCCGUGAAUGUGAUAGAGCCCAGUGAAUCGGAGGGAAAGUGGGGAUCCAGUCCACCUAUAGAUAAUGGAAUAUUGAACGGUAGGUCAGCAUCAUCAUCCACAAGCAACCACACACUGGAUCAGGCACAACGAUAAGAACAUUCAUUGUAUCAUACUAGCAUAUUCUUUCCAUCUGUAAUUUUAUAAGUCUAGAUUUUUAGAUUUUGAUUCCCCCCAUUUGUCCCUCAUCAAGGUCUUGUCAGGGUCAGCUUGGACAAAAAAUGGUAAAUGCUUAGCUGUUAGCUCGUCUUUUAUACUAAAAUUUGUUCUAGUCAACUCGACCCGAUUACAUUAUUCAUACUGUAUUGUAGGGUACCUUUAUCUUGCAAACAAUGUGAAUCUGUCCAUUCUCCUCAUUAUAUGAGAUCUGUUUCUCGCCUAGUGAUUGUAUAUUUCUUGCUUUCUAGGUUCAAAUAUCAGAGCGAUUCCCAUACUCUUCC